CACAUGUUAUAUUCUAAGCUGACGUUUUCAUGUUUAAUAUCUAACAGCAUCUAACAGUGAACAGUGAGCUAGUUAUUUUAUCAGAAAUCCUAGAAACAAACGAUAAUAAAGAUUUAAAAAAUAAAUACGUAAUGUCUGAAGAACAGUAUUGUGAAACUGAAUUUAUCAAGAGAAUACUACAAAUACUAUCAGCUGCAGUCAACCACAACAGUGCCACAAUUGGUUGUCAUAAGUUCUAGGUGGCUUGUUGGAACUGGUUGCAGUUUACACACCGUAACUAUUUGCUUGACUUAUGGAAAAGUGACAUCUAGGGGAGAAAUAACUAACUCCGUAGAAUUUUUAUGGACAUGUCAGCUGUCCCGUCAGCUGUUCCAUUUUGCGUGGCUUCGGACUGAUGGUGGAUGAUUGAAUGAACGUCUCUGUUCUUGAAAUUUCACUACCGACUCCGUGUGUUUUGAGCUACAUCUUGUGAAUUCAAUUAAUGCAGAGUUAUCCAAGGAGGACCAUGGCUUGGCUUUGCUAGCACGUUUUUCAUCUCCGUUAAUCUUAUAAACCCAUUUUGUACGAAAGGUGAUACGUAAAAAAGUAGUCCUUUAUAAUCUAUUUCCCUAUCUAAAUCUCUUAGUUUCUUGGAGGUGUCAUCAGGUGAUGUUAGAAUUUAUUGUUAAUUUCAAGGUUUUGUAAUUGUGCUUUCAGGUCUUCGGGAUGUACUGUGGGGGCCGCAAAAUCAUUCAGUGACUUGGUUCAAUCCAGGAUUUGGUUUUUUCAAUAGUGAUAUACAGUUUUAAUUUGCAGAGAUCCUGGAGGUACCUGAUGUGCUGAAUUAGAGUUGGAGUCGCUCGUUGAGAAAAUGGAAUGCAACCAAUGUUUUGUUGUCAGUGUAAAUAAAACAUAUCCUUUAUCA
rnacentral:lncRNA from 1 species